rnacentral:rRNA from 1 species
UGAGUAACGGCGAGCGAAAAGGGAAGAGCCCAGCGCCGAAGCCCGCUCUCGAGAGGGAGCCGGGCAAUGUGGCGUUUAGGAGUGAGCGUGCCGGCGGUUGACUCUGCAACAAGUCCCCCUGACCGGGGCUGUUUACCCAGAGUGGGUGCGAGGCCCAUAGUUGCUAGGUCUCCGUCGAAUGCGAUCUCCUUGGAGUCGGGUUGCUUGGGAGUGCAGCCCUAAUCGGGUGGUAAACUCCACCUAAGGCUAAAUACGGCCGUGAGACCGAUAGCAAACAAGUACCGUGAGGGAAAGUUGCAAAGAACUUUGAAGAGAGAGUUCAAGAGUACGUGAAACUGCUCAGAGGCAAACGGGUGGGCCCUCGAAAUCCUGUGGCGGGAGGAUUCAGUCGAGCGGCGUGGACACGCAGUCGAAUUCAUUAUGGAUCCGCGGAGGCGGCCGCUUCGAUUGCGUGCUUUCGCGUCGCGAGACGCAUUUGUUUCCCGUCCGAAGGACCCCGCAACCGGUUCGGAAACGGCCUUAAGGGUUGGUGCUGGCAGUUGGCCGGUGGCGUGCCUCGUGUGCGUCGUCGGUUGUUAGCCUAUCAGCCUUGGCUCGUGACCGGACCGUGGUGUCGCAAGGCCCUCUUGGGCUGUUUCGCCUCCUCCGUUCGCGGAUGCCGAGAUCCGGUGGCAGGGGUUCGCACUGCUGCGGGCGCACGGACUGACUCCGUGGCUCUGCGGUACGCCUGCGUCCUCGUUGGCUGCUCGGUAGCUCGUCGGAGGUG